ACUAUCAAUUCAAAUAUUAAUAAUUUGUAAGUUCAAAUUGAAUUGCGCUAAACAAACAAAAAAUAUAAACAAUUUGCUAUUUUCGUUUAGCAAGGGGUGAAAUUUAAUCUUUUUCAUCCAUGUCCUCAGAUUUCUGCGCUUUUUCGUUACGCUACUCUUGUUAUGGAGUUCUCUUCUGAAUUCGAUCAUGGAAUUAGGGCUCAGGUUUCGUCUCAUUCUUCGAGAGUUAGAGGAAAGUGUUGACCUAUCUUCUACUUCUAAGCUAUGGUUCGCCAGUCUGAUUUCGAUUGAUCCGAUAAUCAGUUUAUGUGGCAAUGUUGAACUAGACACGGAUUUAUGGAAGAGAAGCUGUUGAAACUUGCAGUGUAACAAUCCUAAGAAAUUUCUGUGGCUAUAAAUUAUCUCCAUCAAUCGUAAAAUGACAAGUUAAAGAUGUUCCAUACGAAAGUUUCUGUUUGUGACCAUUGAUCAGAAUUUCCCCGCUCUGCCUCGUGCUGAAAUCCAGUCUCCCUGAGAGGUGUUCAUCAGGUAUAUGUAGUAGGGGUUGGCACUAAUCGACCGAACUGAUUUUUGAACUAAAUUGAUCGAAUGCGGAGGUUAACAUUUGUAGUAGAGGACGAAGGAAUCUACUUGAAUGGAUGCAGAUUCAAAAUUUGUAUGUUUUCGAGUUUGGAAUAAUACCAGUAUACCACAUCUUGUUUAGUGUAAGGGACAACGAAAUAUGUUACAAUUUUUAUUUUUUUAGUGAAAUUUUUUGAUAUAUUCUGCUGUAUUUGAUCCAAAGUUAUUGAGUUUAGAUAAAUCGAUAACUUAUGAUUUACCUCCAGUUACUUCCUACCCACCAUCUUAGAGGGACUAAUCUAUAUACUUUAACAUGGUAGAUCAAGACUUAACCCCAAGUACUUGGAACUAUAGAGAGAUAUUAAUUACACCAAAUAACAAUAUUAAUUAGCGAAUAUUAAAUCUCAAGGCCUCAACCCACUCCACCUACCAACAUAAACACACCUCUACACAAAUUAUUACAACACAAUUAAUAAGUAUCACCGGUGUCAAUAGGAACUAAACAAUACGUGAAACAUGGAAAUGUCGAGUAAAAUUUUAAACUUUAGCAAUUUGUUAUUAAUUAUUUUCCCAUUGGUUGAUUCUCCAAUUUUAUCACAUUUUGGUAUGAAUAUUUUAUUUUUUAGAAAAAGUCAACGAAAGAUGAGCCCAUACCUGAUUUUAGAAAUCACAUGGGAGAAAAUAAAUGCUUUUCAAUAAACACAAGUAUGCAUGCUUCAUUCAUGGAACUUUCUCUUCACAAAAUGUAUUUACUAUAGUUAUGGGCUUUUGUAAGAGAAACACUAUCGAUUCCGAAUUAAAGAGAAUGGGCCUGUCCAUUAAUACUACUACAACAACUCACAUUAACUCUUCUUCCCAACCAAUGAUUCAAUUCAACUUUCUUCUUUCUCGUUAGGUUUACGAUUAUAUAUUUAUAUAUAUAAACAAAUUCAACUAUUCAAUAUGACAACUCAAUCUAAUUUAGAUUUCACAUCGACGUCGGUAGUAUUUUAUUUUAUAUAGCUUCUCAUUGAAUUUUGGUCUAAUCAUUGCCAUUCGUCAUGAGAAAAUAUUCAGUUGUAAUUGAGUUAAUGUCAUUAUAUUCAGAGUUGUUGAAGCCUUUAGCAUCAUUUAGAUAAAGUGCAGGUUAUAAGUAUCAAUAUUUAUUAUUGUCGCUAAAUAUUAUAUAGCAAAAAUUAUAUUAUUGUUGCUAAAUUCUUUAUUUAUUGUAUUGUUUCCCGAGUGACAUGUUGGACAUUUAGUAGCAACAGAUUUUCCUUAGUAGCGUUGCAAAAAUAUUUAGUAAUAAUUGAGUUAAUGCCAUUACAUUUCGAGAUACUUUGGUAAAAAUUUUAUUUGCUGUAGCAUGUUUUUCCUGUGAAAUGUUGGCAAAAUUAUAUAUAAGAUAAGCGGUAUCGAUUAGCGACAAUUUAGCUAGCAAGGGAAUUUAAUUGGGUCUAUCAUGGUGGUGAUUUUAUUUAAGAUUUUACUACUAAAAAUUAAUAUAUGAAGGAAGGAUAUUUAUUUUGUCUUAUUUUGAAAUAAUGUCACAUCCUAGAGCGUUUCAUGUGUGUACACAUUUAUUUAUUAGAAAAUUAUUAUUUACACACAAAUAUUAGAAAAAACUUUUGUAAUGUGUGGGUCUUCGCCAUCGCCUCCAGCAAUUUUCUGAAAGGAUAAUGAGUUUGCUAACUAUAUUAAGCUGAUCAAAUUUAAUGACCAAGAUAUAUCUCAUACUUUUAGUUUUAGUCUUUUUAAAAAAUAAUGAUAAUGUCAUUUUAUAUUAGGAAAUUGUUUAACUCAUAUAUAUCAUAAGAAAUCGCAUAAGAUGCCUAUAAAAAUUACAAGUUGUAAGUGUAGAUUAGAUAUAAAUUAAAGUCCUUUCGUUAUAAACUUCAUUACUUAAAUCAAAUACUGUCAUAUAACAUGAUACAAAGAUAUUUAGUAUUAGACAAUUUUUUGCUUGUUGCGGAAAAAAAUAAGAGGUUAAAGGAAUGCCGUGUUUUACCCGUUUUGAGGAUGAGCUUUGACUACAUAGAAAGCAACGUAUGGGAAAUAGCCCAUGUAUGAUCACAGUAUCUUCUCAGCCAUACUUCCAAAAUAAUACAUCAAGUGAAAGAGGAAGGGGAAGGGAAAAGGAAAAGGGAAACCAAUUACAAAGUAGAGAAUUGAAUUCUCAAGUGAAAAUUUAUGUAGUCAAUUAAAAUAACUUAGCUACUAAUAUUCUCCAAUUACAUGUAUAAUGUAACUAUCUACUGAUUAUUUAGAUUGACCAAAAAAGGGGCGCAUAUACAUUUUUAAAUUUGUUUAAGGUUAUACAAUCUUUUCAAAAUUUAAACCUCUCUUUAAGUAAGUAGAA